UUUGAAACGUACUCGUUGAUUAUACCCAUUCUUUUUAUUUGUUGGUUGCUUGUAACCAAUAUCAACCUCUUCUUCAUCUCUAUAUAUUCUUGCAUCAAUAGCAUGAUUCAUUCCAAUUUCGCCCAUUAUUUGCCUCUUUCGCUUAAUGCUGUCAAUGAUAACAUCAUGAAACUCCUUCUUUGCAAUUUUCAAGACUUCUUUCAAUGUGAAUUCCACCUUAGCAUUUAAUAUACGUUCUUCCAACACCCCUUU
rnacentral:lncRNA from 1 species